AUACGUAGGGUGCAAGCGUUAAUCGGAAUUACUGGGCGUAAAGCGUGCGCAGGCGGUUUUGUAAGACAGAGGUGAAAUCCCCGGGGUCAACCUGGGGACUGCCUUUGUGACUGCAAGGCUAGAGUACGGCAGAGGGGGAUGGACUUCCGCGUGUAGCAGAAGAAUGCGUAGAUAUGCGGAGGAACACCGAUGGCGAAGGCAAUCCCCUGGGCCUGUACUGACGCUCAUGCACGAAAGCGUGGGGAGCAAACAGGAUUAGAUACCCUGGUAGUCCACGCCCUAAACGAUGUCAACUGGUUGUUGGGUCUUCAUUGACUCAGUAACGAAGCUAACGCGUGAAGUUGACCGCCUGGGGAGUACGGCCGCAAGGUUGAAACUCAAAUGAAUUGACGGGG
rnacentral:rRNA from 1 species